AGACAUGAACUUGGGCAAAAUCAGGGAGAUGGUGAAGGACAGGGAAGCCUGGCGGGCUGCAGCCCGUGAGGUCACAGAGUCAGACACUCCUGAGCCGCUGAACAACAGCAGCCACCAACCCCAGAAUGACUAAAUCAGAAUCUCAGGGUGUGGGGCCUGGAUGCAUAUAAUUCUUCAAAGCUUCACAGGUGGUUCUCCAGGUUCAGCUCCAUGCCCUCAGUAUUUCUGAAAGCCUCUGGGGAUGCCUCGUGUGUCAUCACAAACCAGGUCAGAGCAGCUGCAGUGUGUCUUUGGGACACCCACAGCCUCCCGGCCGACAGGAACCGCAUUGCCUUUGGUACACAAGCCUUAGGAUGGACUAUGAGCCUGUAGAAAAGCUGGAAAUCCCCCCUCGCCUGAGCCACGAGAUGCUUUGUCUUCGGGGCCUGAAGCAGUGCUGCAUGUCUACCACGCUGCAUGCUGAGAGGGCAGGAGAGGAGAUGGAGAGAGAAUGAAGACGGGUCAGGUGGCUACAAUACACCUUCCCUGUCUCAACAACCAGGUGUGUCACUUCCGCUUUUGUGGGAAGAAGUCAAGAGAACAAUGCUUCUGGGAGAGGAGAAGGUCUUAUAUUGUGGGUCAUCCAAAAUUCAGGGAGAGAAAGAACGUACCGUGGCCAACGAUUCCACUGUUCAUGCUGCCAGGUUGGGGAAGCACCACCCCUCCAUCUGUGUCCCCGUCUCUUAACCCAGCUGCCCAGGACUGAAGCUGCUCUUGCCCCCUUCUAGUGAAAUAAAGGC
ensembl:lncRNA